rnacentral:rRNA from 1 species
UACAGAGGGGGCAAGCGUUGUUCGGAAUUACUGGGCGUAAAGGGCUCGUAGGUGGCCAACUAAGUCAGACGUGAAAUCCCUCGGCUUAACCGGGGAACUGCGUCUGAUACUGGAUGGCUAGAGUUUGGGAGAGGGAUGCGGAAUUCCAGGUGUAGCGGUGAAAUGCGUAGAUAUCUGGAGGAACACCGGUGGCGAAGGCGGCAUCCUGGACCAACACUGACGCUGAGGAGCGAAAGCCAGGGGAGCAAACGGG